GACGAACGCUGGCGGCGUGCUUAACACAUGCAAGUCGAACGGAAAGGCCCUGCUUUUGUGGGGUGCUCGAGUGGCGAACGGGUGAGUAACACGUGAGUAACCUGCCCUUGACUUUGGGAUAACUUCAGGAAACUGGGGCUAAUACCGGAUAGGAGCUCCUGCUGCAUGGUGGGGGUUGGAAAGUUUCGGCGGUUGGGGAUGGACUCGCGGCUUAUCAGCUUGUUGGUGGGGUAGUGGCUUACCAAGGCUUUGACGGGUAGCCGGCCUGAGAGGGUGACCGGCCACAUGGGGACUGAGAUACGGCCCAGACUCCUACGGGAGGCAGCAGUGGGGAAUAUUGCACAAUGGGCGGAAGACUGAUGCAGCAACGCCGCGUGCGGGAUGACGGCCUUCGGGUUGUAAACCGCUUUCGCCUGUGACGAAGCGUGAGUGACGGUAAUGGGUAAAGAAGCACCGGCUAACUACGUG
rnacentral:rRNA from 1 species